UACGUAGGGGGCAAGCGUUGUCCGGAAUCAUUGGGCGUAAAGAGCGCGUAGGCGGCCAGGUAGGUCAGCUGUGAAAACUCGAGGCUCAACCUCGAGACGCCGGUUGAAACCAUCUGGCUAGAGUCCGGAAGAGGAGAGUGGAAUUCCUGGUGUAGCGGUGAAAUGCGCAGAUAUCAGGAAGAACACCCGUGGCUAAGGCGGCUCUCUAGUACGGUACUGACGCUGAGACGCGAAAGCGUGGGGAGCGAACAGG
rnacentral:rRNA from 1 species